rnacentral:rRNA from 1 species
UACGUAGGGUGCAGGCGUUAAUCGGAAUUACUGGGCGUAAAGCGUGCGCAGGCGGUCUCUUAAGACAGGUGUGAAAUCCCCCGGGCUUAACCUGGGAACUGCGCUUGUAACUGAGAGGCUUGAGUGUGCCAGAGGGGGGUGGAAUUCCGGGUGUAGCGGUGGAAUGCGUAGAGAUCCGGAAGAACACCGGUGGCGAAGGCGGCAUCCUGGACCGGUAUUGACACUGAAAAGCGAAAGCCAGGGGAGCAAACGGG